rnacentral:rRNA from 1 species
GAUGAACGCUGACAGAAUGCUUAACACAUGCAAGUCUACUUGAAUUUGGGUUUUUUAACUUAGAUUUGGGUGGCGGACGGGUGAGUAACGCGUAAAGAACUUGCCUCACAGCUAGGGACAACAUUUGGAAACGAAUGCUAAUACCUGAUAUUAUGAUUAUAAGGCAUCUUAGACUUAUGAAAGCUAUAUGCGCUGUGAGAGAGCUUUGCGUCCCAUUAGCUAGUUGGAGAGGUAACGGCUCACCAAGGCGAUGAUGGGUAGCCGGCCUGAGAGGGUGAACGGCCACAAGGGGACUGAGACACGGCCCUUACUCCUACGGGAGGCAGCAGUGGGGAAUAGUGGACAAUGGACCAAGAGUCUGAUCCAGCAAUUCUGUGUGCACGAUGACGUUUUUCGGAAUGUAAAGUGCUUCCAGUUGGGAAGAAAAAAAUGACGGUACCAACAGAAGAAGUGACGGCUAAAUACGUG